rnacentral:lncRNA from 1 species
ACAAAACAAAACAAAAAAAAAAACCAGAAGGUAAAUUUGACCAGAUGCACUUGCAAGCAGCAGAUAACAAAACUAAAUUGUGUAUAUUAAACGCUUCCUCACAAAUUACAAUCUCACUAAGUUUACAUCCUUACAUGUGCAGCUGGGGUUUCUGGCAAGACGAAGACCCAACUGAGAAGACAAAGGCUGAUAGUUCUGAAAGUGUGGAAAUACCUUGGUCAAUAUAAUCCCAAAGCUCAUGCGGGCGUUAAUGAUGAUAGUGUGGGGGAGAAUGUGAUCAUAGGAGAAGAUGUUUCUGUUGGUGAUGCUUCAGCAGUGGAUGGAAAGCCAUAUGUGGACUCAAACCUCGAUUUGCAAAACCCUAGCUUGAUGAUCUGAAGCUUUUAAUCCAAUGGAAUGUAAUAAUUGCCCCAUGCACUC